rnacentral:rRNA from 1 species
GAUGAACGCUGGCGGCGUGCCUAAUACAUGCAAGUCGAGCGAACAGACGAGGAGCUUGCUCCUCUGACGUUAGCGGCGGACGGGUGAGUAACACGUGGAUAACCUACCUAUAAGACUGGGAUAACUUCGGGAAACCGGAGCUAAUACCGGAUAAUAUAUUGAACCGCAUGGUUCAAUAGUGAAAGACGGUUUUGCUGUCACUUAUAGAUGGAUCCGCGCCGCAUUAGCUAGUUGGUAAGGUAACGGCUUACCAAGGCGACGAUGCGUAGCCGACCUGAGAGGGGGUGAGCCGCCACGGGGGAAGGGAGACGGGCCCGAGACCCAUGGGGGGCACAGCUAGGGAAACUUUCGCACAGGGCGAAAACGUGACAGGGCAAAGCGGCGCGAGUGAGAAAGGGCUUCGGGUCUGGAAAAGCUCUUUUUUGGGGAAAAAAAAAGUGUAAAAAAAUCUGCGCGCCUCUAGGGGACCCAUAAAGAAAAACCCGCGUCAAAACGC